GAUCAUGGCUCAGGAUGAACGCUGGCGGCGUGCUUAACACAUGCAAGUCGAACGGGAAAUAUUUCAUUGAGACUUCGGUGGACUUGAUCUAUUUCUAGUGGCGGACGGGUGAGUAACGCGUGGGUAACCUGCCUUAUACGAGGGGGAUAACAGUCAGAAAUGGCUGCUAAUACCGCAUAAGCGCACAGUAGCUGACAUGGCUCAGUGUGAAAAACUCCGGUGGUAUAAGAUGG
rnacentral:rRNA from 1 species